rnacentral:rRNA from 1 species
GAGUAACACGUGGGCAACCUGCCUGUAAGACUGGGAUAACUUCGGGAAACCGGAGCUAAUACCGGAUAAUCCUUUUCCUCUCAUGAGGAAAAGCUGAAAGACGGUUUCGGCUGUCACUUACAGAUGGGCCCGCGGCGCAUUAGCUAGUUGGUGAGGUAACGGCUCACCAAGGCGACGAUGCGUAGCCGACCUGAGAGGGUGAUCGGCCACACUGGGACUGAGACACGGCCCAGACUCCUACGGGAGGCAGCAGUAGGGAAUCUUCCGCAAUGGACGAAAGUCUGACGGAGCAACGCCGCGUGAGCGAUGAAGGCCUUCGGGUCGUAAAGCUCUGUUGUCAGGGAAGAACAAGUAUCGGAGUAACUGCCGGUACCUUGACGGUACCUGACCAGAAAGCCACGGCUAACUACGUGCCAGCAGCCGCGGUAAUACGUAGGUGGCAAGCGUUGUCCGGAAUUAUUGGGCGUAAAGCGCGCGCAGGCGGUUCCUUAAGUCUGAUGUGAAAGCCCCCGGCUCAACCGGGGAGGGUCAUUGGAAACUGGGGAACUUGAGUGCAGAAGAGGAGAGCGGAAUUCCACGUGUAGCGGUGAAAUGCGUAGAGAUGUGGAGGAACACCAGUGGCGAAGGCGGCUCUCUGGUCUGUAACUGACGCUGAGGCGCGAAAGCGUGGGGAGCGAACAGGAUUAGAUACCCUGGUACGUCCACGCCGUAAACGAUGAGUGCUAAGUGUUAGAGGGUUUCCGCCCUUUAGUGCUGCAGCAAACGCAUUAAGCACUCCGCCUGGGGAGUACGGCCGCAAGGCUGAAACUCAAAGGAAUUGACGGGGGCCCGCACAAGCGGUGGAGCAUGUGGUUUAAUUCGAAGCAACGCGAAGAACCUUACCAGGUCUUGACAUCCUCUGACAACCCUAGAGAUAGGGCGUCCCCUUCGGGGGACAGAGUGACAGGUGGUGCAUGGUUGUCGUCAGCUCGUGUCGUGAGAUGUUGGGUUAAGUCCC